rnacentral:rRNA from 1 species
GAAGCUUGCUUCUCUGAUGUUAGCGGCGGACGGGUGAGUAACACGUGGAUAACCUACCUAUAAGACUGGGAUAACUUCGGGAAACCGGAGCUAAUACCGGAUAAUAUUUUGAACCGCAUGGUUCAAAAGUGAAAGACGGUCUUGCUGUCACUUAUAGAUGGAUCCGCGCUGCAUUAGCUAGUUGGUAAGGUAACGGCUUACCAAGGCAACGAUGCAUAGCCGACCUGAGAGGGUGAUCGGCCACACUGGAACUGAGACACGGUCCAGACUCCUACGGGAGGCAGCAGUAGGGAAUCUUCCGCAAUGGGCGAAAGCCUGACGGAGCAACGCCGCGUGAGUGAUGAAGGUCUUCGGAUCGUAAAACUCUGUUAUUAGGGAAGAACAUAUGUGUAAGUAACUGUGCACAUCUUGACGGUACCUAAUCAGAAAGCCACGGCUAACUACGUGCCAGCAGCCGCGGUAAUACGUAGGUGGCAAGCGUUAUCCGGAAUUAUUGGGCGUAAAGCGCGCGUAGGCGGUUUUUUAAGUCUGAUGUGAAAGCCCACGGCUCAACCGUGGAGGGUCAUUGGAAACUGGAAAACUUGAGUGCAGAAGAGGAAAGUGGAAUUCCAUGUGUAGCGGUGAAAUGCGCAGAGAUAUGGAGGAACACCAGUGGCGAAGGCGACUUUCUGGUCUGUAACUGACGCUGAUGUGCGAAAGCGUGGGGAUCAAACAGGAUUAGAUACCCUGGUAGUCCACGCCGUAAACGAUGAGUGCUAAGUGUUAGGGGGUUUCCGCCCCUUAGUGCUGCAGCUAACGCAUUAAGCACUCCGCCUGGGGAGUACGACCGCA